UUACAGCGGCAUGAAUGAGCAUCUUGACCUAGUGCGAAGCUGUAACUUCAAGGAAGUAAUCUUAAUGCUGCUUGAAUGAAUAUCUUGACCCGGUGCAAAGCAGUAACUUCAAGGAACGCAAUCAUAAUGGUAGAAGCAAUCUCUGCCUUGUGCUUGUGGAAUCUUUAGCUCCAAAGAUGCUCCUGAAAGUCAAUAUGAUUUCAAGGUUUCUUGAAAUGAGCUGAACCAAGAGAUUGCUGCUUAUUAAUGGGUGAACAGCACAGGAUGGCUAAGCUAUUUGUUUAAGCAUUACAAGGCACUUCUGUUGGAAGUAUUAUCAAUAUACCAAUUGGGAAAACUAGAUUUAGGUGAUAUUGAAUUUAAAAUAUUCAUAUUAAUGUUUCAACUUGGUAGCUUUUUGUUCAAUAUAUUAUAUACAGCCACAUUUUCAGCUGUCUAUAGACUUUACAAAUUUAAAGAUUUGGGAUAGACCAACCCUCUGUUUUCAAACAAAAAACUUGAACAAUUGGCUUAGCCACAGGGUGAAUAUUCAUUAGACACUAGCUUCAGCAAUUGGAUCCUAAAUUUCACCUACAUGAAAGGAGCUGUUGAAUCUUUAGCUUCAAAGAUGCUCUGGAGGUUAUGGUUAGUAUAUAUAUCUGACAGUUAUUUCAAGCUAAGAUCAAUGUAUGAUCAAUCAUUAUUUUAUUUAUAUUAAAUUUUAAAGCAUUUUCCUCCAUGUACAGUACUGUAACUAUUUUGUGGCCGGUCAGGGUUCCAUCUCUUCAAUACCAGUAUGUUGAGACUUGUAUUAUCUUGCUGGUUUUGUGUAAGGGAGCCUUACCUUGCAAUGAGUGUUCACGUUCUUCAGUCUUAAUGGUUACCUUUGGUGAAAGACUUUUCUUUGGGGAAAAGGAAGUCAUAAAUUUUGGCGAUUCUUUAAAUGUGGCAGAAAUAGCCCUUCAGUGAUUAUCAAAUUAAAAUUUUGUAUUGAAUUGUCAGUAAAUAAAUGUUCGCAUUCUGUACAUUAAUGACUCAUUAAUGAUGUGUAUAAGUACAUGGGUCCGUUUCUUCCUGGAGGGAGCAGACGGGUGAUUUUCUUAGAUACAUUGUCUUUGUGGUAGAAUAUUCAAAUAUUGUAUGGAAGGAUUCUUACAUGUGAAUUUAUUAAUAAACAUUAGUGUUUAAA